rnacentral:lncRNA from 1 species
GAAGAAACUACCACAAAGAGGAAACGAAGCACUUUUGUCCCUGCGCGUCAUUCUAACCAUGGAUUGUGGGUCCUGAGGUCUAAACUCUCAGCUGUGAGUACUAAUUUGUGGCAUGAUGGUGAGGUGAAAUGACAGAGGCUCAUGGCACGUCAUUGCAGAAUAUCCACUAGAAUUUCACAAGUCACCAGUCAUGGAUUUCAGGAUCUGACUGCUUGUCAUCUUGGGAGACAUCAGGAUCUGACUGCUUGUCUUCAUGGGAGACUUCAGGUUCUGAGUUCCUGAAUGUAUCCUCCGUCUACAGGAGAGAGGGGGCUCUGGUCCUGACUUGGCUUCCUCCUGUCUUUGCUGAUGGAAGCUGGGUUUUG